CAGUAGCCACGGGAAUACGAAGGGGGCUAGCGUUGUUCGGAAUUACUGGGCGUAAAGCGCACGCAGGCGGCUCGAUAAAUUAGAAGUGAAAGCCUUGGGCUUAACCUGAGAAUUGCUUUUAAGACUGUCGAGCUAGAAUCCAGAAGAGGGUAGUGGAAUUCCGAGUGUAGAGGUGAAAUGCGUAGAGAUCGGAAGGAACACCAGUGGCGAAGGCGGCUACCUGGACAGAUACUGACGCUGAGGCGCGAGAGCGUGGGGAGCAAACAGGAUUAGAUACCCCAGUAGUCCCUGUCUCUUAUAC
rnacentral:rRNA from 1 species